CACGUAGGGCGCAAGCGUUGUCCGGAAUUAUUGGGCGUAAAGAGCUCGUAGGCGGUCUGUUGCGUCUGCUGUGAAAACUCGGGGCUUAACUCCGGGCCUGCAGUGGGUACGGGCAGACUAGAGUGCGGUAGGGGAGACUGGAAUUCCUGGUGUAGCGGUGAAAUGCGCAGAUAUCAGGAGGAACACCGGUGGCGAAGGCGGGUCUCUGGGCCGUAACUGACGCUGAGGAGCGAAAGCGUGGGGAGCAAACAGG
rnacentral:rRNA from 1 species